GACGAACGCUGGCGGCGUGCUUAACACAUGCAAGUCGAACGGAAAGGCCCUGCUUUUGUGGGGUGCUCGAGUGGCGAACGGGUGAGUAACACGUGAGUAACCUGCCCUUGACUUUGGGAUAACUUCAGGAAACUGGGGCUAAUACCGGAUAGGAGCUCCUGCUGCAUGGUGGGGGUUGGAAAGUUUCGGCGGUUGGGGAUGGACUCGCGGCUUAUCAGCUUGUUGGUGGGGUAGUGGCUUACCAAGGCUUUGACGGGUAGCCGGCCUGAGAGGGUGAGCGGCCACAUUGGGACUGAGAUGAGGCACAGACUACUACGGGAGGCAGCGGUGGAGUAUAUUGCACAAUGGGCGGAAGCAUGAUGCAGCAACGCCGCGUGCGGGAUGACGGCCAUCGGGUUGUAAACCGCUUUCGCCUGUGACGAAGCGUGAGUGACGGUAAUGGGUAAAGAAGCACCGGCUAACUACGUG
rnacentral:rRNA from 1 species